AGACAAUCCAGAAUAAGAGAUUAAAAAAAAAAAAGGCAAAAUGAAGUCAAGAUAUUAAUGUGUUAUUAAUAUGCUUAUACAGAUAUAUGUUGGUUGUUUUGUUUUAUUUUGUUUUUUAAAUCAAAUGCUCUAUUACUCAUGAGUUACAGAUUAUGGGAAAACCAGGCUGGUUUUCUUUGCUGUUUUUACAUCUGUUCGCAGUUACUGCUUGGAGCCACCUAUGUCUGACUAGAACUGUCAAGUAACCAUGGCAUCCAAAUACAUUCAGAUAAUAGGAUGUGCACAGCUUUGCAAAUAAUGAUGUCAAGUUGUCAGAGAGGAGAACAUAACCCCUAGAACCACAGUAUUGCCCUUUCUCAAUGCUUUGAUAUUUAUUUUGCCUUCAUGCUGUUAUUAAAUUCACAUGAACUUGGAUGAUAUUUCAAUUUGAUGAAAACUUAAAUUAUAAAUGAAUCCAUGCAGCUGGAAAGAAAUCAGCUCAUAUAAGUGUCAUGUUUGAGGUACUGAAAUAAGGGAAUUUGAAACCCCUCUCAAAUGAGACAAAAUAAUUGAGAGAUGUUCAGUAGUAUUUGUAAUACAUACUAAUGUGGAGAGGCUCUCUAUGACUCAAGCCUUUCUUCAUAUGGUAUUUGAACAUGAUGCUUUCUCUUCAGAUUCCAUGUAAUGGUUUUUAGUUCCUUCUGUGGAAAGAAAAUCCUGUACAUGCUCUUAUCCCCUGUGUACCAGAGUGAUGUAUUAACCAUAAAGUUUUUUCUUCCUUCUGAUUACUGAUCCCUCCAUCAACCUGAUCUACUGAAGACCCGUUGGUCUGGCUGCAUUGCCACUGCCCACCUCUGCAUGGCCAGGGCAGACUUCUUGGUUUCUGUGGCAGAAGAAAAGGGAAGAUGUCACAAUAGUGAACCCAUGGUCAUGUCCCAGAGCACAGCAUUCCUGGCCACUCUCCCUGCUUGGACCUGGGAGGAUGCCGACACAGACACCUUGUGCCUUAGGCCAUGUUACACAGGGACAGCUGAAUCUCUUCCCCAGUACCUGAGGCCCUCUCACUCAUUGAGAUACUGUGGUCUUCAAGAGACAGGAAGAUUUUCUCCAACAUCUUUCUUAUUUUACAAAAAAGAAAACAAGAAAUAAUCUGAAAACCUUGCAGAAGAAAGACUGACUUGCUAUUUUUAAAGUGAGUUAAUGCCAUGUAUGGCAAAUGAACACAUUUUUCCUUCUUUCAGGAAGCCACUGGCAAAGAUUUUAUUUCUUUACCUGUAUGCAGUGAAUUUUUUUUAAGAGUGUUUGCAGUGCAGUUUGUGACAUGACAGCUUGGAGUGAUUCUGGAGAAGACUGAAUAAAUCUUACUCUCUCAGAGUCUCA
rnacentral:lncRNA from 1 species